rnacentral:rRNA from 1 species
AAUCUCUUGGAAAAUAAGGGGAGUGCCUCAUUAGAAGGAGCCUGGGGACAGGUGCUGCAAUGGCUGUCGUCAGCUCGUGUCGUGAGAUGUUGGGUUAAGUCCCGCAAGAAGCGCAACCCUUGCCUUUAGUUGCCAUCAUUAAGUUGGGCACUCUAGAGGGACUGCCGGUGUCAAACCGGAGGAAGGUGGGGAUGACGUCAAGUCCUCAUGGCCUUUAUGACCAGGGCUACACACGUACUACAAUGGCAUGUACAAAGGGCAGCCACAGGGCGACCUGGAGCGAAUCCUUAAAACAUGUCUCAGUCCGGAUUGGAGUCUGCAACUCGACUCCAUGAAGUUGGAAUCGCUAGUAAUCGUAGAUCAGCAUGCUACGGUGAAUACGUUCCCGGGCCUUGUACACACCGCCCGUCACACCACGGGAGUUGGUUGUACCAGAAGUAGUUGAGCGAACCUUCGGGGCGCAGACUACCAAGGUAUGGCUGGUAACUGGGGUGAAGUCGUAACAAGGUA